GCCUUCGUAGUGUAGUGGUCAGCACGCUCGACGCGAAUUCGAGAGGUACGCGGUUCGAUUCCCGGCGAGGACA
rnacentral:tRNA from 1 species